rnacentral:rRNA from 1 species
UACGGGGGGGGCUAGCGUUGCUCGGAAUCACUGGGCGGAAAGGGUGCGUAGGCGGGUCUUUAAGUCAGGGGUGAAAUCCUGGAGCUCAACUCCAGAACUGCCUUUGAUACUGAAGAUCUUGAGUUCGGGAGAGGUGAGUGGAACUGCGAGUGUAGAGGUGAAAUUCGUAGAUAUUCGCAAGAACACCAGUGGCGAAGGCGGCUCACUGGCCCGAUACUGACGCUGAGGCACGAAAGCGUGGGGAGCAAACAGG